rnacentral:rRNA from 1 species
GACGAACGCUGGCGGCGUGCUUAACACAUGCAAGUCGAACGGUGAAGCGCCUUCCUUUUUGGUGGGUGUGGAUGAGUGGCGAACGGGUGAGUAACACGUGAGUAACCUGCCCCCUUCUUCUGGAUAACCGCAUGAAGGUGUGGCUAAUACGGGAUAUUCUGGGUCUGUCGCAUGAUGGGUCUGGGAAAGAUAUUGUUUCGGUGGGGGAUGGGCUCGCGGCCUAUCAGCUUGUUGGUGGGGUGAUGGCCUACCAAGGCGGUGACGGGUAGCCGGCCUGAGAGGGUGGACGGUCACAAUGGGACUGAGAAACGGCCCAGACUCCUACGGGAGGCAGCAGUGGGGAAUAUUGCAAAAUGGGCGCAAGCCUGAUGCAGCGACGCCGCGUGAGGGAUGGAGGCCUUCGGGUUGUGAACCUCUUUCGCCAGUGAAGCAGGCCUGCCUCGUUUGUGGGUGGGUUGACGGUAGCUGGAUAAGAAGCGCCGGCUAACUACGUG